AUGCCGUUCCAGUUUGCAAUUUAUUACUUAUAUGAUAAGUCAUUAAAAGUGGAGAGUACAUCGAUCCUUGUAGCUAAUAUAGACCAGCAUAGUCAAGUUACGUCAAAACCAGACCUUGAUGGAGACGACAAUUGGCUAGAAAUAAAGUGGCCUUCACGUAAAGAACCAGAGAAGACGGUGCCUGCAAAAGUCCUGCUGUUUGGAGAUUCGUUCAAAGACCUCGUCAUGAAGAAAAACUUACUACUUUUGGGAAAGGACAUAUGGAAAAAGGAUGAAAGCAGGGGUGUUCGUGUCAAAAAGAAAAUAUUGGACACCAGCAACGAGGUGGAGGCUAAAAAAGCCAGGCUGCCAAAGCAAACCAAAAUCAAAGAGGCAGCGAGAGACAAGAUGUUACAAAAACUGAAGAAUUCCCUUUCUCAGAGCAGGGCCGUAGACACACAAGAUCAAAACACCAGCUCUGAGGAUGAAGUUCCACAAUGUCUUCAUAAUGUAAAGCUAGUAAACACUAAGAAGGCUGCCAGACCCCUGGCAUUCACUUCCGAUCAUCAUAUCAGUUCUGAAGAUGCUACAAACAUAGCGAGCCCACUCCGUCCAGAUCAUCACACCAGUUCUGAUGAUGCUACAACCAUAGGGAGUCCUGAAAUGGUGAGUCAUAUUUUUUGUUUUAUUUUUUUGAUCUAUGUACUGUGCUGUACACAAAUUGUUUCUCUCUUGAUUUUCACACAACUCUUAUAA
ensembl:lncRNA